ACGGAAGGCAGCAGCUAAGAAUAUUCCGCAAUGGACGAAAGUCUGACGGAGCGACGCCGCGUGGAUGAUGAAGGUCGAAAGAUUGUAAAAUCCUUUUAGGAGUGAAGAAUAAGCGGUGCAGGGAAUGGCAUCACGGUGACGGUAGCUCCUGAAUAAGCAACGGCUAAUUACGUGCCAGCAGCCGCGGUAACACGUAAGUUGCGAGCGUUGUUCGGAAUUAUUGGGCGUAAAGGGUAUGUAGGCGGUCGUGCAAGCUUGGUGUGAAAGGCAGGGGCUCAACCCCUGGACUGCAUUGAGAACUGCAUGACUAGAGUCACUGAGGGGCAAUCAGAAUUCCUGGUGUAGGGGUGAAAUCUGUAGAUAUCAGGAAGAAUACCAAUGGCGAAGGCAGGUUACCAGCAGAUGACUGACGCUGAGGUGCGAAGGUGCGGGGAGCAAACAGGAUUAGAUACCCUGGUA
rnacentral:rRNA from 1 species